CCUACGGGAGGCUGCAGUCGAGAAUCAUUCACAAUGGGGGAAACCCUGAUGGUGCGACGCCGCGUGGGGGAAUGAAGGUCUUCGGAUUGUAAACCCCUGUCAUGUGGGAGCAAAUUAAAAAGAUAGUACCACAAGAGGAAGAGACGGCUAACUCUGUGCCAGCAGCCGCGGUAAUACAGAGGUCUCAAGCGUUGUUCGGAAUCACUGGGCGUAAAGCGUGCGUAGGCUGUUUCGUAAGUCGUGUGUGAAAGGCGCGGGCUCAACCCGCGGACGGCACAUGAUACUGCGAGACUAGAGUAAGGGGGGGGGAGCCGGAAUUCUCGGUGUAGCAGUGAAAUGCGUAGAUAUCGAGAGGAACACUCGUGGCGAAGGCGGGUUCCUGGACAUUAACUGACGCUGAGGCACGAAGGCCAGGGGAGCGAAAGGGAUUAGAUACCCGAGUAGUC
rnacentral:rRNA from 1 species